rnacentral:rRNA from 1 species
UACGAAGGGUGCAAACGUUGCUCGGAAUCAUUGGGCGUAAAGCGCACGUAGGCGGCUCCAAAAGUCGGAUGUGAAAUCCCUGGGCUCAACCGAGGAAGUGCAUCCGAAACUGCGGAGCUUGAGUAUGGAAGAGGGUCGCGGAAUUCCCGGUGUAGAGGUGAAAUUCGUAGAUAUCGGGAGGAACACCGGUGGCGAAGGCGGCGACCUGGGUAGAUACUGACGCUGAGGUGCGAAAGCGUGGGGAGCAAACAGG